GGCAGGAAGGCGCACGGUGCGCGUUGCGCUUCGGUCAGAGCUCCAGCUAUUGAGUAACCCGAAGGUCCCCGUUCGACUCGGGGUCCUGCCG